CAGCAGCCGCGGGAAUACGAAGGGUGCAAGCGUUACUCGGAAUUACUGGGCGUAAAGCGUGCGUAGGUGGUGGUUUAAGUCCGUUGUGAAAGCCCUGGGCUCAACCUGGGCAUUGCAGUGGAUACUGGGUCACUAGAGUGUGGUAGAGGAUAGUGGAAUUUCCGGUGUAGCAGUGAAAUGCGUAGAGAUCGGAAGGAACAUCUGUGGCGAAGGCGACUAGCUGGGCCAACACUGACACUGAGGCACGAAAGCGUGGGGAGCAAACAGGAUUAGAUACCCCGGUAGUCCCUGUCUCUUAUAC
rnacentral:rRNA from 1 species